UACGUAGGUGGCAAGCGUUAUCCGGAGUUAUUGGGCGUAAAGCGCGCGCAGGUGGUUAAUUGAGUCUGAUGUGAAAGCCCACGGCUUAACCGUGGAGGGUCAUUGGAAACUGGUUGACUUGAGUGCAGAAGAGGGAAGUGGAAUUCCAUGUGUAGCGGUGAAAUGCGUAGAGAUAUGGAGGAACACCAGUGGCGAAGGCGGCUUCCUGGUCUGCAACUGACACUGAGGCGCGAAAGCGUGGGGAGCAAACAUG
rnacentral:rRNA from 1 species